rnacentral:rRNA from 1 species
CAGUCGCCACGGUAAUACGUAGGGUGCAAGCGUUAAUCGGAAUUACUGGGCGUAAAGCGUGCGCAGGCGGUUAUGUAAGACAGUUGUGAAAUCCCCGGGCUCAACCUGGGAAUGGCAAUGGAUACUGGCAAGCUAGAGUGUGUCAGAGGAUGGUGGAAUUCCCGGUGUAGCGGUGAAAUGCGUAGAGAUCGGGAGGAACAUCAGUGGCGAAGGCGGCCAUCUGGGACAACACUGACGCUGAGGCACGAAAGCGUGGGGAGCAAACAGGAUUAGAUACCCCCGUAGUCCCUGUCUCUUAUAC